UAUCCAUGUUUUUACGCAGUCAAAACUAGCCCAAAUGUCAAUUUCUGGUUUGAUGUCUGAAACCAUGCAUUUGCAAUGAUCUUGACCAUUAAUUUAGCCAGCCCUUGGACAGACUGUGAUGCAGUAUUUGGGCACCGGCAGUAGUGCCAGGAAGAAGAAGAAAAAUUAGUCUAGGCCUAGCCUGACCAGAAUUUGUUCCAACAAAUCCAGCUCAAGUCUAGCCCUGUCGCAGGGUCUUGUUGAGUCAUAUUUUAUUUGUUAUUUCUCUUAUUACUUAAGUGGUCGAGUCAGUUUAGCACUUCCCUAAUAGCUGGUUGAUGGGGAGGAAUUUCCAGUCUGUUUGGGUUUUAUUUUAUUGCUAUUUAGUUGGCUGGAAUAGGAGUAAUCAAUUUCAGUCCUUGAUAUUCUUUAUUAUUUUUGUAUUUGAGUCAAGGAAGGACUCUUCAAUACAGCCUGUGGCUGGAUAUUUUAAUCAGUCUUUGUUUCUGUUUUUUUGUUUCCUUAUCUGUUCAGGAUUGGAUCGGUUGCAGCCUUUCCUUUUCAGUGUCUGAUUCAGUUUACAGAAGUUUUAGAUAAGCAUGUAAAGGCUUAACAUCCCCCCACCCUCGAUUUUGUGAAUGAAGAAAGCUUUGGCUGCAACUAUGGUCUGUAGAUUUCAAGCUGUGGAUUCAGGAGUUGUUUUCUGCUGAGUAUUGUGCAAGGAUCUGGUGGAUUCUAAACUGUGUUCAGGUGGAUUCCUGAAUGUCUUAUCUUUCCAAUCUCCAUUUUCCUUCUCUCCAGGCAGUAUAGGUCAGAUCUCUCUAAUUCUUAAAUCCUGUGAUUUUAUUUCUGUUUCAGUUUCUGAAUAGUUCUGGUCCAUUUCUUUGAGUUAAUCUUUACUCAAACUCUGCUGAAACUUUGUGUCAAAUUGCUUAACUAGUUAUCAGUUUCAGAUUCUGUUUGUCUUCAGUUUUCCAACUGAAUGGUAGAUCCUACUGCAACUCAUUUGUUUUCAGUUUUACAACUGAAUGGUAGAUCCUACUGCAACUCAAUUUCUCAAUCCUGAUUUUCUGGAACUGAUCUCUUCAUUUGAUCCCUGUAGAGACUGUUUAAAGCUUCAUAAUUAUGUUUAAUUUCUAAAUCAGAUUAGUAUUUGAUUCUGUUUUGAAACCCUAAGGCCUUGCCAUCAAAUUUACUGUUUAUUCUGGGUUUUCAAGUUUCCUAUUUACAGUCUCUUCAAUAUUUCUAAAUCUAAUCCUUCAGAGUACUUCCAAACUUUGCUGGAAUAUUCUACUACCUGCUUGAACUACUUGACCAGAAGUUCUUUCUCAUCUGAUCGGUUUUGACUGCAUCGACAAGUUUUCUCUUAGAUCUGGUUCCUCACUUUCAUGCAUGAUGAAAGUUUCGAUUGAGAUAUUUACGUUUAGGUUUUGACAGAAACCGAGAUGAAACCUUGAGUCGAUACUGACUCCUACCAAGUUUCUACCAGUUCUGACCACCCAUGACAUGUUGUGUUUUGCCAUAAAUUCCAGAUUUUGACCCAUAUCUCAGCUUCAGGCUUGGUCGAAACCAGCCUUGAGAAAAAGAUGUCGAUCCUUUUCAUGCAAUUCUAGAUUUCUCUGGGAUUUCUGAACCCUAUUUCUUAGGUGGCCUCAAAAUCCCUUUAGACUAUAUUUGAUGUAGUUGCAUUGUUUGGUAGAGGUUUUAGAUGUGAACGAUUGCAUACAUUUGAAUCAUGGAUAAAUUAAACUUAUGAUAUUGCCAUGCAUGUGUACCCAUUUCAUUUAUCUGUAUCCUGGACUGGUUAAAUAUUUGGGUGCUGGUAGGAUUGGAUGCAGAUCCUUUGUGCCAAAGGACCUGGAUUAUCCCCAUGAGCCAGUCAUGAGAUAGCCAAUGCAUCCUGAGAAUGCUAAUUAAAUACACCUAAGCAAACUCUUUGAUAGCCAGUCGUAUUUCCUGAAAUACCAAUAGAUACUUGUAUUGAGCUCGUGAUUCUGCUUAUGGAAUUAUCCCUGAAAUGCAUUAACAGAGGAUCUGGACUAUUAAGUGCUUAAGAAAUUAUUACUUGGCUUGAUAAAAAUCAAACAAUUUAGGGGCCACAAUCAGAAAGAACAGGAUCAGCAGGAAACCUUCAAGCUUAGGAACUUAUUUGGGUUCUUAUGAUUGGUCCAGGAAUUGGUUACACGCUAGAUCCUGAUUUUUCCGUUGUGAAGAUUGCUGCACCUUAUGCACAGGAGCUAUUAGAUUUAAAAGAGAAGCAGCGCUCCGGAACACAACUUGUCGAGGAGAUAAGGAGACAAGCCAAUGAUGACAUAGAAGUUUCUAUGCUUAGUGGGUGGACCUUGGCGCAACACUAAGGUUGUUCCAUUGUGACCAAGUGGUCACGGGUUCGAGUAAGGAAACAACCUCUCCGUGAAGCGAGGGCAAUGUUGCAUACGUGAUGACCCUCCCUAGACCCCAAAGUGGCGGGAGCCUCGUGCACUGGGUAUGCCUUUUUUUAAGUUUCUAUGCUUCACACCAUUUUAGGAUUAUUCAUUCAGAGGUCAAUUUAAUCUAUUGAUUAUCUUAGUUGACUUACCUUGUUUACCAAAAGAAAAAAAAGAAUGACCUUGUGUAAAUGGAAAUGGAAUUGCCAUUUUUUAUCUCUAAAUCUGUAGAAACAUCAAAGCAUCAUAUAGUUAAUGCUUUUAGUCUAUACACUAAAGAUGGACAUGUUAUGUAUUAAACAUUAGUAGUUAUUGAUUUUUGAUAAAUGUUUGUAGUACUUAGAUAAUCCAAAUGUUCUAUAGUAGAGCUAAAGCGAAUUAAGAAGCACUUCUUAGGUACUAAGUGAGUGAGUGAGAGAUGUUUGAAUAUAUUUUAUCUAUUGUAGACCUGAAUAGAAAAUAGGGCAUAUACGAUGAAGUUUGAUUGUGCAGCAAAAAGAGUCAAUGCAUGUAUGAAGUGCCAGAUGCACAAAAUGUAACAUGUUUUUUUUCCCCCUGCGUGAGACUUGUGCUUAGGCAUUUGUGAGGUGAAAAUUCAUGCUCAGUUAAAUAUUUACAUACAAUCAUGUUUAACUAUAUGAGUCUUAUAAUCUAUUAAGGCUACAUGGUGCCAUGCUGCCAAAAAAGGAUAACAUUUACUCUAUGUGAAGUAAGGAAUUAUUAAAAAAUCUUUGUUUACGAACAUUUGUAUAUUUAAUGACUGAAAUGUGUACAAUGGGAGUGCUGCCAGGCUGCGUGGCCCCUACACCAGCAUGGGGGCCAAUAAGAGUGGUGCAUGGGCAUUCCAAGGGUAGGGUGGGGUGGUCAUUUUACUGCCCCAUGUGAGAGGGUGUAGGAGGGCGUUGCCAGGCUGGAUUUUUAAGCAUGUAACCCUUGAGCCAUAUGGUGACUGGUGCAGAAGACCAGAUGAAGAUCUUGUAUGACUAGCAAUGUAACAAUGUUUUAUCAAAAUAAUUUCCAAAAAAAAAUAAAGGAGAACUUUCCGGGAGGGGCUGUUUUGACAUUUUCUUAUAUUCAAACUUUCUGUUCUAGAUUAUUUUGUUUCAUUCUGUAUUUUAUACUUAAGUUUUCCUUCCAUAACAUAAUAUAUUUGAUGCUUUCAAAAUCUUUGUC